CAAAUUAAUUCUUUAUUGAAGUUAUUAUUUACAUUAAUAAUUUGAUUGUGAAAUUCAAUCUAAUUUGA
rnacentral:tRNA from 3 species